rnacentral:rRNA from 1 species
UACGGAGGGGGCUAGCGUUGUUCGGAAAUACUGGGCGUAAAGCGUACGUAGGCGGCUUGGCAAGUCAGGGGUGAAAUCCCGGAGCUCAACUCCGGAACUGCCCUUGAAACUGCUUGGCUAGAAUCUUGGAGAGGUCAGUGGAAUUCCGAGUGUAGAGGUGAAAUUCGUAGAUAUUCGGAAGAACACCAGUGGCGAAGGCGACUGACUGGACAAGUAUUGACGCUGAGGUACGAAAGCGUGGGGAGCAAACAGGAUUAGAUACCCUGGUAGUCCACGCCGUAAACGAUGAUAACUAGCUGUCCGGGCACAUGGUGUUUGGGUGGCGCAGCUAACGCAUUAAGUUAUCCGCCUGGGGAGUACGGUCGCAAGAUUA